rnacentral:lncRNA from 1 species
GCGCGCGCCAGCCGGCCCCCGGCCCUGCGGUGCCGCCGGGAGGGUCCUCGCAACACAUGGCUGAUGUGGGACUGAGACCUGCCAGCUCAUUUCAUACGUGGGGCAGGGAAGGGCCAGCGCAGGGUACGGCCUUCCAGGCACGGCUCGCCUUGAGCCUGCUGCCCCGGGUGACAGGGAGGUCAAAGGCUCUGUCAUCACGGUGAGGCAGGCCACCCGGGGACAUCGGUGGUUCAGGUUAGGGAUCUGGGGGGGAAAGAGGUACCCCAGGGCUGGAUAAUGGCGAGAAGAUGGCCCUGUCCGUCUUGCGCGCCUAGGGCUCUCACUUUGUCUGCGUGCCUUCUCCCUACAGGUCCUAUAGCAAACAGAGGUCCGCAAUCGAGAGGGAGUAUGGGCAGGACAGCGGUCCCAGCUGCCCAGCAGCGUGCCACCUCGCUCCCAACUCUGCCUUCUUCCGUUCUGCCUCGCGCGCGCAUGGCAUCCAUCCCUCUGCGACGUCGCUCCCCUGCCCUGCUCCGGCCUAACCUCUUCUUCUCUCUCCUGGCGGCCGCUGGGUGCUGGCAGGUGGCUCCAGGGAGCCCUCGGCCCGGAGAGCGCAACUAAGUCCCUGCUCAGCCCCGCAAGCCACAUGGGCUUUUCCUGCAAGGAGUGACUCCAGGACCCUCGUUCUCCAGACUCCUGGGUCCCCAUCAGCCUCAAAUGACCGCAGGGUCCCCUCUUGCCCCGUUGCUCUGGGGACACCCACGAAGCGGACAGUCGAUGUGGGGAAGCACAGCCUCAUUCCCCGGUGCGGGAACGCAUAGCCGGCACUGCAGAGACUGGCAAGCCAGUUCCAGAAGAGAGACUGGCAGCGGGCCCGCAGUGAAGCCAACGACUCGAGGUGGGCUGCAGGCGAGGUGGCUGGGGCAGGGUGGCGAGGGGCUGGGGGUAGCUGUGGCCCAGAGGUCGAAGGUGGCCAGGUACGUGGCCUCCCAGCCAGGAGCAUGGCUGGCAGGACAGGGGCUAAUUCAGACCAGGAGUCAAGUGCCUGGCAGUGCCUGAGAGGCUCUCCCUCCAGAGAUGCAGCCCUGGUGAGGCCAUCUCUAAGGAUGUGGUACCCAACUCGGAAGAGACUGCAGGGGUGGGGUGGCUAGUGAUGUCCUGAGCCGAGAGCUGG